rnacentral:rRNA from 1 species
GACGUAGGGCGCGAGCGUGUCCGGAUUAUUGGGCGUAAAGAGCUCGUAGGCGGCUUGUCGCGUCGACUGUGAAAUCCCGCGGCUCAACUGCGGGUCUGCAGUCGAUACGGGCAGGCUAGAGUUCGGUAGGGGGGACUGGAAUUCCUGGUGUAGCGGUGAAAUGCGCAGAUAUCAGGAGGAACACCGGUGGCGAAGGCGGCAUCCUGGACCAAUUCUGACGCUGAGUGAGCGGAAAGCCAGGGGAGGCAAACGGG